GAUGAACGCUGGCGGCGUGCUUAACACAUGCAAGUCGAGCGAACGGACGCGAAGCUUGCUGGUCUGAUGUUAGCGGCGGACGGGUGAGUAACGCGUGUAUAACCUACCUAUAUGUCGGGGAACACUACGGGAAACCGGCGCUAAUACCGUAUAAUAUUUUGAACCGCGUGGUUCGAAAGUGAAAGUCGGUCUUGCUGUCACUUAUAGAUGGAUACGCGCUGCAUUAGCUAGUAGGUAAGGUAACGGCUUACCAAGGCAACGAUGCAUAGCCGACGUGAGAGGCUGAUCGGCGACAUGGGAACGGAGACGCGCUCCAGAGUCCUACGGGAGGCAGCAGUAGCGAAUGGGCCGCAAUAGGCGAGAACCUUACACAACGGCGGGACGCGAGUGAUAGCGGUCUUCGGAUCGUAAUGCUCGGUUAUUAGGGGUGAACAUCUGUGUACGUAGCUGAACAGAGCGUGACGGUACCUGGUCAAGAAGCCCCGGCUAACUACGUG
rnacentral:rRNA from 1 species